rnacentral:rRNA from 1 species
AUUGAACGCUGGCGGCAGGCCUAACACAUGCAAGUCGAGCGAGCGGCGGACGGGUGAGUAAUGUCUGGGAAACUGCCUGAUGGAGGGGGAUAACUACUGGAAACGGUAGCUAAUACCGCAUACCAUCAGAUGUGCCCAGAGGGGAUUAGCUAGUAGGUGGGGUAAUGGCUCACCUAGGCGACGAUCCCUAGCUGGUCUGAGAGGAUGACCAGUCACACUGGGACGGAGACACGGUCCCGACUCCGACGGGAGGCAGCGGUGGGGAAUAUUGCGCAAUGGGCGAAAGUCUGAUGCAGCAAUGCCGCGUGUAUGAAGAAGGUCUUCGGGUUGUAAAGUACUUUCAGCGGGGAGGCGUUACCCACAGAAGAAGCCCCGGCUAACUCCGUGCCAGCAGCCGCGGUAAUUC